rnacentral:tRNA from 1 species
GUCUCGGUAGCUCAAGUGGUUAGAGCAGCGGCCUAUAGAUCCGAAGGUCGUGGGUUCGAAUCCCGCUCGUGACA